GUUAAGAAUCACGUUACCUGAAGAGACUAGUUAGUAUUUUUGCAAUAACUUAAAUAUUGUACUAAGUAAUAUUUGGUGGGUUUUAUUAUUGAUUUACCUGGGGGACCAAGGCACCCCAUUUAUAAAUUGUCUUGGUGGUGGCAGCGUUAAAAUAGUAAUAGUUAUAUUAUGUUUAAGUGUGGGUGGUUUUAAAAGGGGGAUUUUGU